AUGCACGCUGGCGGCGUGCCUAAUACCUGCAAGUCGCGCGAACGGACGAGAAGCUUGCUUCUCUGAUGUUAGCGGCGGACGGGUGAGUAACACGUGGAUAACCUACCUAUAAGACUGGGAUAACUUCGGGAAACCGGAGCUAAUACCGGAUAAUAUUUUGAACCGCAUGGUUCAAAAGUGAAAGACGGUCUUGCUGUCACUUAUAGAUGGAUCCGCGCUGCAUUAGCUAGUUGGUAAGGUAACGGCUUACCAAGGCAACGAUGCAUAGCCGACCUGAGAGGGUGAUCGGCCACACUGGAACUGAGACACGGUCCAGACUCCUACGGGAGGCAGCAGUAGGGAAUCUUCCGCAAAGGGCGAAAGCCUGACGGAGCAACGCCGCGUGAGUGAUGAAGGUCUUCGGAUCGUAAAACUCUGUUAUUAGGGAAGAACAUAUGUGUAAGUAACUGUGCACAUCUUGACGGUACCUAAUCAGAAAGCCACGGCUAACUACGUG
rnacentral:rRNA from 1 species